rnacentral:rRNA from 1 species
AUGGAGUCACCGGCGAGCUCAUGCGUGUCGUCAGAUGCAGAGGUGGAGAUGCCGAUGGUGGUCGCUGGAUGCCCCCAGUGCCUCAUGUACAUGAUGCUCUCGGAUUCAGAAGAAGAGAAGCAACCCAAGUGCCCCAGGUGCAAGAGCCCCGUGUUGCUGCACUUCCACAAGUACUGGGACACGAAGAAUAAGACCUAA